rnacentral:lncRNA from 1 species
UAUUCUCACAGCAAAAAACAGCCUCAUUUGUAAAAUGUAAUCUCAAGAAAGAGAACUACACACAGAAUAAGCCAAGCCAGAAAAAAGUUGUACUUGCUACUACAAGAAGCCAUCUUGCAUGAUUAACUAGCUACCAGAUUGUUGAUUUUUAUUAACUCUCUGUCUCCUUGGCCACAGAAAAGAUAUUUUGAUCCCAAUGUCUUCUUUCAAGAAAAGCUGAGUGUGUCUUCCAUGGAUUUUCACUAAGCUCUCAUGUAAACAGAAGUGGUACUGGGAGGAGAAAAAACCACCAGACAGCAGAGAAGAAAACAACUUUGGAAAAUUCUUUCAGCCAUUUAUUAAUAAAUAUUUGUCCAAAAACCUACUAUGCAACAAGCCUGGUGCUGGCUUCUGGGGACAAAGCAGUAAACAAAUCAUACUCCUAGAACUGACAGCUUAAUUCUUGGAAGACACAUUAAAAAUGAUUGCACAUAUAACUAUAUAAUCACUACUGAGAAGUUUUAGUAAAAGAAAUCUGCAGGGUUCUAUGACAAUGAAACCUGCAACAAAAAUUCCAAGAAAAUAGCAAAACCCCAAGGAGAUCGCAGAAAGACCAGGAGAAGCAUUUUUAUGCUGACUUUAGAAACACCAGCAGAGCUAUAUUUCCAGGAUUUUUCAUUUUCUUAAAAAUCAAUAAUUAGAAACAGAAAACAGCUACGGUAAUUUCAAUAAAAUAUUGUAGAUAUAAUUUAUAGAUUUAAAU